UACGUAGGUGGCAAGCGUUGUCCGGAUUUACUGGGCGUAAAGAGCGCGCAGGCGGCUGGUCAAGUCCGAUGUGAAAUCUCCCGGCUUAACUGGGAAACUGCAUCGGAAACUGAUCGGCUUGAAGGUGGGAGAGGGUAGUGGAAUUCCCGGUGUAGUGGUGAAAUGCGUAGAUAUCGGGAGGAACACCAGUGGCGAAGGCGACUACCUGGCCUGUUCUUGACGCUGAGGCGCGAAAGCUAGGGGGAGCAAACGGG
rnacentral:rRNA from 1 species